rnacentral:lncRNA from 1 species
GAUAAAUCUUUUUCUAAUAGUGGGCUUUUUCCUUUUUCUUUUCUUCUUCCCCCCCUGAGCCAGUGGGAAGAUGAAGCAGCCUUGCAGCCAGCUGCUCAGCGUUGGUCACUGCCUGCGAGAAGGAUGGGCCCAUCAGCACGGCUGAGCGCGGCCGUUCAUCACCCAGCACGUGCAGAGGUGGGCUUGGGAGUGACCUUGAGCACCAGCAGCACUUGGCCAAGCCAGUGAUAAUGUCCAUCCCUCAUUUCCAGGCCAAUGGAUUUUUAGGAAGACGAACUGCAUAACAUUUACAUAAAUCAGAAACUGUUGAUGGUUGUCUUUCCAUGCAUUGGGACCAUCCAUGAAGGAAGCUAUAAGGCAUCUUUCAUGUAUGAGCUGCUUCCAUUUUCCCUAACUUGGAGUAAAAUCUCAGCUAUACACAUGGAUACAGGAACUACAUCACUUGCUGGCGCUGGCCUGUCCUGAGGACAGCAGGAAUUCUCCAUCAGGAUCUUCAGUGAGUUUAGUUAUAUUUCAUCAGAACUCAUGUGGGUGUCAGAAAAGUGGAGCUCAUCAUCUUGAUACUGCAGCCUUGUAGAAAAAGACCCUACUCUGAGGUUUGCCAUGUGAAUUUUGGGUUCUGCUGCUCAAAUACCUUUUGCUGCAACUGCUUUUAGUGAAUGAAUCUUGUGACUGUAAAUGUCACGUGUGCUAUGACAGUACUUAAAGCCAAAUUACCAGAAAAUGCUCCACUCGAACAGGGGAUUUUAAUCAGUGUUUGUU